GCAGUCGAGCGGUAGAGAGAAGCUUGCUUCUCUUGAGAGCGGCGGACGGGUGAGUAAUGCCUAGGAAUCUGCCUGGUAGUGGGGGAUAACGUCCGGAAACGGACGCUAAUACCGCAUACGUCCUACGGGAGAAAGCAGGGGACCUUCGGGCCUUGCGCUAUCAGAUGAGCCUAGGUCGGAUUAGCUAGUUGGUGAGGUAAUGGCUCACCAAGGCGACGAUCCGUAACUGGUCUGAGAGGAUGAUCAGUCACACUGGAACUGAGACACGGUCCAGACUCCUACGGGAGGCAGCAGUGGGGAAUAUUGGACAAUGGGCGAAAGCCUGAUCCAGCCAUGCCGCGUGUGUGAAGAAGGUCUUCGGAUUGUAAAGCACUUUAAGUUGGGAGGAAGGGUACUUACCUAAUACGUGAGUAUUUUGACGUUACCGACAGAAUAAGCACCGGCUAACUCUGUGCCAGCAGCCGCGGUAAUACAGAGGGUGCAAGCGUUAAUCGGAAUUACUGGGCGUAAAGCGCGCGUAGGUGGUUCGUUAAGUUGGAUGUGAAAUCCCCGGGCUCAACCUGGGAACUGCAUCCAAAACUGGCGAGCUAGAGUAUGGUAGAGGGUGGUGGAAUUUCCUGUGUAGCGGUGAAAUGCGUAGAUAUAGGAAGGAACACCAGUGGCGAAGGCGACCACCUGGACUGAUACUGACACUGAGGUGCGAAAGCGU
rnacentral:rRNA from 1 species